rfam:Oidiodendron maius Zn unplaced genomic scaffold scaffold_19, whole genome shotgun sequence.
GCCCGCGUGGCUCAAAUCGGUAGAGCGUCAGACUCUUAAUCUGAAUGCUGCGAGUUCGAGUCUCGCCGUGGGCU